rnacentral:rRNA from 1 species
UACGGAGGGUGCAAGCGUUAUCCGGAUUCACUGGGCUUAAAGGGUGCGUAGGUGGCUUUGUAAGUCAGUGGUGAAAUCUUAGAGCUUAACUCUAAAACUGCCAUUGAUACUGCUUAGCUUGAAUCAAGUCGAGGUGGAUGGAAUAUUACAUGUAGCGGUGAAAUGCUUAGAUAUGUAAUAGAACACCAAUUGCGAAGGCAGCUUACUACACAACGAUUGACGCUGAGGCACGAAAGCGUGGGGAUCGAACAGG